GCAACCCCUAUUGUUAGUUGCCAUCAUUCAGUUGGGCACUCUAGCGAGACUGCCGGUAAUAAACCGGAGGAAGGUGGGAUAGACGUCAAGUCAUCAUGCCCCUUAUGACCUGGGCUACACACGUGCUACAAUGGUUGGUACAACGAGUUGCGAGUCGGUGACGGCGAGCUAAUCUCUUAAAGCCAAUCUCAGUUCGGAUUGUAGGCUGCAACUCGCCUACAUGAAGUCGGAAUCGCUAGUAAUCGCGGAUCAGCACGCCGCGGUGAAUACGUUCCCGGGCCUU
rnacentral:rRNA from 1 species